rnacentral:rRNA from 1 species
CCUACGGGAGGCAGCAGUCGAGAAUCAUUCACAAUGGGGGAAACCCUGAUGGUGCGACGCCGCGUGGGGGAAUGAAGGUCUUCGGAUUGUAAACCCCUGUCAUGUGGGAGCAAAUUAAAAAGAUAGUACCACAAGAGGAAGAGACGGCUAACUCUGUGCCAGCAGCCGCGGUAAUACAGAGGUCUCAAGCGUUGUUCGGAAUCACUGGGGGGAAAGCGUGCGUAGGCUGUUUCGUAAGUCGUGUGUGAAAGGCGCGGGCUCAACCCGCGGACGGCACAUGAUACUGCGAGACUAGAGUAAUGGAGGGGGAACCGGAAUUCUCGGUGUAGCAGUGAAAUGCGUAGAUAUCGAGAGGAACACUCGUGGCGAAGGCGGGUUCCUGGACAUUAACUGACGCUGAGGCACGAAGGCCAGGGGAGCGAAAGGGAUUAGAUACCCUUGUAGUC